GAUGAAGAACGUAGUGAAAUGCGAUAAGUAAUGUGAAUUGCAGAAUUCAGUGAAUCAUCGAAUCUUUGAACGCACAUUGCGCCCCUUGGUAUUCCGAGGGGCAUGCCUGUUCGAGCGUCAUUAUAACCCCUCAAGCUCAGCUUGGUGUUGGGGCCUGCUGCACUGGCAGCCCUUAAAAUCAGUGGCGGCGCCAUCUGGCUCUAAGCGUAGUAAUUCUUCUCGCUAUGGAGUCCUGGUGGAUGCUUGCCAUCAACCCCUAAUUUUUCUAUGGUUGACCUCGGAUCAGGUAGGGAUACCCGCUGAACUUAAGCAUAUCAAUAAGCGGAGGA
rnacentral:misc_RNA from 1 species